UACGUAGGGGGCGAGCGUUGUCCGGAUUUACUGGGCGUAAAGAGCGCGUAGGCGGAAAUUUAAGCGUGGCCUGAAAGCCCCCGGCUCAACCGGGGAGUGCGGCUGCGAACUGGGUUUCUUGAGGACGAUAGAGGAGAGUGGAAUUCCUGGUGUAGCGGUGAAAUGCGUAGAUAUCAGGAGGAACACCCGAGGCGAAGGCGGCUCUCUGGGUCGUACCUGACGCUGAGGCGCGAAAGCGUGGGGAGCGAACGGGAUUAGAUACCCCGGUAGUCCACGCCGUAAACGAUGGUCACUAGGUGUGUGUGGUAUCGACCCCGCACGUGCCGCAGCUAACGCAAUAAGUGACCCGCCUGGGGAGUACGGCCGCAAGGUUGAA
rnacentral:rRNA from 1 species